AGAAAGUAAUGUUGGCUGGUCGCCAGAGAAGUAAAAAGGCUAACAUCUUGAGCUAUAUGGAUCAUGGUUGUUUUCUUGAAGUUUCUGGUGGAAGUAAAAAGGCCAACAUCUUGAGCUGUAUGGAGCAUGGUUGUUUUCUUGAAGUUUCUGAUGGAUUGUAUACCAUUGACUGAGAGGAAUCGUUCAUUCAUGAGAAUGGGACAAGAGCAUUGCUAGAUGGAAUUCGGCUGAGUGUAAGUACACAUGAGAGGUGUGUUUUCAUUGAUAGAGGAAGGGUGAGAGCAUGACACUUGUACAGGAAAAAGAAAGAAAUGGAAACAAAAAUAUAAAAGUAAAG
rnacentral:lncRNA from 1 species